rnacentral:tRNA from 1 species
GGGAUACAGCUCAGUUGGUAGAGUGCUUGCAUCACAUGCACAAGCACAAGGCCCUGGGUUCAAUCCCCAGCAUGACA